CAGGGACGCGCGGGUUUGGCCUGUGACUUUUUCCUUGGUGUUCAUCCAGUUACCCCAUCAGGAGGGACCUGCUCUCUUCAGCAGUCUACGACUUGUUGGCCACGUGGCUUUGAUAUGCUCCAUGCAGGACAGAAUGCCCAGCUCUCCUCCACCUGGUGUUGAAUGCUGCUGGUUGAAAAUCACAUCUGCUA